UUUGUUACUUCAAACCAAUCGGACUUCGGUCUGACAUCAAGUGAUAUCGAACAAUUUAGCUGAUCGCACGGUCUAAGAACCGGCGACAUAUCCUUCAAAUGUCUGCCUUAUCAACUUUCGAUGGUAGAUUAUGCGCCUACCAUGGUUGUAACGGGUAACGGAGAAUCAGGGUUUGAUUCCGGAGAGGGAGCCUGAGAAACGGCUACCACAUCCAAGGAAGGCAGCAGGCACGCAAAUUACCCACUCCCGGCACGGGGAGGUAGUGACGAAAAAUAACAAGCUGGUCUCAAUGAGUUCCUGCAUUGUAAUGGGAACAAUUUAAAUCUUUUAUCGAGGAUCUAUUGGAGGGCAAGUCUGGUGCCAGCAGCCGCGGUAAUUCCAGCUCCAAUAGCGUAUAUUAAAGUUGUUGCGGUUAAAAAGCUCGUAGUUGGAUCUAGGAUUAGGGCUACGGUCGUUCAGCUUGGACGUACUGUAUGCCCGACUCCUUUUCUCUAGUAUUCGAUUGUUGCUCUUAAAUGAGUGACUUUAGUUGCUGGAACUUUUACCUUGAAAAAAUUGAAGUGCUCAAAGCAGGUU
rnacentral:rRNA from 1 species